rnacentral:rRNA from 1 species
UACGAAGGGGGCUGGCGUUGCUCGGAAUUACUGGGCGUAAAGGGCGCGUAGGCGGCCCCGUAAGUCCGCGGUGAAAGUCAAAGGCUCAACCUUUGAAAGCCGGUGGAUACUGUGGGGCUAGAGUCCGGAAGAGGCGAGUGGAAUUCCUGGUGUAGCGGUGGAAUGCGCAGAUAUCAGGAGGAACACCAAUAGCGAAGGCAGCUCGCUGGGACGGUACUGACGCUAAGGCGCGAAAGCGUGGGGAGCGAACAGG